CACGUAGGAGGCGAGCGUUGUCCGGAAUCAUUGGGCGUAAAGAGCGCGCAGGCGGCUUGGCAAGUCGACUGUGAAAUCUCCGGGCUUAACCCGGAAAGGUCAGCCGAUACUGCGGGGCUAGAGUGCAGAAGGGGCAACUGGAAUUCUCGGUGUAGCGGUGAAAUGCGUAGAUAUCGAGAGGAACACCUGCGGCGAAGGCGGGUUGCUGGGCUGACACUGACGCUGAUGCGCGAAAGCUAGGGGAGCGAACGGG
rnacentral:rRNA from 1 species